ACGGCAGCGGGGAGUAGCUUGCUACUCUGCCGGCGAGUGGCGGACGGGUGAGUAAUGCCUGGGGAGCUGCCCAAUCGAGGGGGAUACCAGUUGGAAACGACUGCUAAUACCGCAUACGCCCUGAGGGGGAAAGGUGGGGAUCUUCGGACCUAUCGCGAUUGGAUGCACCCAGGUGGGAUUAGCUAGUUGGUGAGGUAACGGCUCACCAAGGCGACGAUCUCUAGCUGGUCUGAGAGGAUGACCAGCCACACUGGAACUGAGACACGGUCCAGACUCCUACGGGAGGCAGCAGUGGGGAAUAUUGCACAAUGGGGGAAACCCUGAUGCAGCCAUGCCGCGUGUGUGAAGAAGGCCUUCGGGUUGUAAAGCACUUUCAGUCAGGAGGAAAGGUGGCUAGCUAAUAUCUAGUUGCUGUGACGUUACUGACAGAAGAAGCACCGGCUAACUCCGUGCCAGCAGCCGCGGUAAUACGGAGGGUGCAAGCGUUAAUCGGAAUUACUGGGCGUAAAGCGCACGCAGGCGGCUUGUUAAGUCAGAUGUGAAAGCCCCGGGCUCAACCUGGGAACUGCAUUUGAAACUGACAAGCUAGAGUCUUGUAGAGGGGGGUAGAAUUCCAGGUGUAGCGGUGAAAUGCGUAGAGAUCUGGAGGAAUACCGGUGGCGAA
rnacentral:rRNA from 1 species